AUCAACGAUCAUGCUAUCCAAGAACACUCUUCCAUGGCCUGAGCAUGAGAUGGCACCAACUGCCUCUGCUUCUUUUGCUGCUUUUCUGCUCCAACUCAGGUUAUUCCACACAUCAUCAUCACCACCACCACUACCAUAAUACCAAUUGAAAAUAAACAGUAGAUUAAGAAUUAUGGAUGACAAUAAUAAUAAACAACCCACAUAAUACUUUGAAUUCUGUAUCUUAGACAUAAUCCCUUCCAGUUAUCACUACGAAGAGCUCUUAGUUCUUUAAAGAAUCAAGAGAACAAAGUUUGACAAAUGUGUCUUGUUUGUCGCCCACAUACUUUUGGAGAUUCCAAUAUGAUGUCAUGCACAAGGGCCAAGCUUUUUACUUUAUUUUAUAUUCAAAUUUCUUUUAUUUUCUAUCUUUUUGUGGUUCUUGUUUUAUUAUUAUAGUUUAAGUAAAAAGAACCCUUUUGGAGAAGAAAAUAAUUCCUAAAGUCGUACUUAACAAAUUACUUGUUACUCCUAGAAUCUGAAUUCCAACACAAGCUUUUAAUUUCAUUAAAAAAAAAAGAUAUCACUCUUUUUUCGUUUUAUCAUUACAUAAUCUAAUCAUUUUUUUCUAAGUGUAUUUAGAAUAAGAUAUCCCUUAUCUAGAGUCUGGACUCUGUUUAUAAAUUCAUUACUUAGAUUUUUCUUUUUUUUAUUCAUUCUUAUAAUUCCAAUGAUUAUACAAUUCAUAUUGUAAACAGAAAAAUCUUUCUCUGUACCAUUUCAAAAAAAGUUGACAAGCUGAGCAUAUACGUGAAAGAUAUUUUUUCUUUUUCAUCACUUCGACAUGUAUGAAAAAAAAUAUUGUGACAUUUCAUUUCUUACAGCAUUCUCAAACUAAUCAUUUUUUAUAUAUCGCAAUGGACGAUUUCAACGUUUCGAAUCAAAAAGAAUAAUUACAAAGUAUAAUUGUAAUAGUUACUUAAUUUAGUCUCUCAAAUGGUCUAUAUUUUUUUUUUUUAGCAUAGAUAUAUUAAUUUCAAAUAUGUUAAAAUAUAAAUUUUUACGGAUAAUAAAAUAUUAUUUAUAAUACAAUUAUAUUUAAGACGAAAGCUUGUGUAUAAAAGAUAGAAAGACUUUCAAUUUUGAACUUUCAUUUUUAACCCACCAAUGCACAAGAAGCAUGUAUCACUCUCCUAGAUCACUAAGAUCAAAAUGCUUUCUUUUUCUUUUUUUUGUCUUUCAUUUUAAUCUCUGCAUCAAAACUUUUACCAGUCUUUUCUUUUUUUAUGUUUUUGCAGCCAGUUCUAACCACCUCAUAAAUCCAUGAUGUUUUUGCAGCCAUAGCAAAUUCAACAAAUUUCUUCUGCAUAUGACAUUAUUAUAUACAUAUAUCAUUGAGCAGGUCAAUAGGCAUUGACCUCUUCAAAUAAUGCACACCCCUUCAGUACAGUAAAUACACAAUAAUUAAAGUCAACAAGACAUCACCAUUUUAUCUGUAUACAUGGAGAAGGAACAGGAGCUCUUACUGAAGCUGCUGGGACAUCUUUGAUUUAUAAAGUUUUGGAUUUUAAAUUCAUUAAAUGCUUUUGGGACCAUCUUCCUCAGAUACUAGCUGGUUCAGCUUCUCAAUCAGUAAAUCAAAAUCAUCUUGUCUCUUGAGCAGGCUGAUACGCACGUACCCAUCUCCAACAUUAAACAAGUUACCUGGAUUACCAAUGAUAUUCCCUCCCUGAAGGACUGCAUAACAGUCUUUAUCUUCUUCUCUCUCACACUUGAGCCAUCCGUAAGCUGACAUAAAAUAUAUUUUACUACACAGUUAAAUGAUCAUCGGGAAUGCUAAUCGGAAUGUUUGUCGCAAUCUUUUUUAGUUCCAUUUCUAUUACCUGGGGAUGCUUCCCUGACUUUCUUGAAGUAGACGCAGUAUUGGGGCGGUAUUUUCUGGAUCGAGAAUCGCUUUGAUAUCGAUACGGUCUUGCUCAAUCUUUCCCAUCGUUUCCUCAUUGUCUCAUGUCCAAACUCAAAUAUAGCAUUUCCUCCUCCUUGAAGGACUACUUUCAGGAGCUUCAGAGCUCGUAGCUGACACUCUCGAGAAACUCCUAGUGUAUUUAAUUCCAAAUAUGUUAGCAUUCUCUGAUAGAUAACCUCAUCCUUUAUCACUGCCCACCUACAUUAUGUGGAAGCCAAGAAAACAUGACCAGUCUGGGUCUGUUCUUAAAUGAGAAUUUGUCAAAAUCUGCUGUUUUUAUUGUUACCCAAAUCUGGAUCCAGCGUGACCGGUGAGCUUGGAAAGUGUAAAUAGCAUUAUAUCUCCGUCUGCUGGAGCUGGAAUUGCUGUGUAAUGUGGCCAGAAGUAAGCAUGAUCAUAAACUGCUCUCACAUUAGAGCCUUCAAGAACUGCCUCGUUCAGCUGUCCAUCAGGAUUGUUUGGUGAAGUUACAAACUCUAUCAUCUCUGUACUUGUAUCUGAAUUGUUUCUCCAUAAUGAUGCAUCUCCUUGAAACCUGAAAUUCACCGAUUGGAAAAGGUCCGUCUGUUGUUUAUAAACCUGUCAGGAUCUUAUCAUCAAACUCAAGUAUGGGAUUAUAACGUCAUUAAUUGAAGAAAUCAGAUUUUAAAACCUGAAAUGGAAAUUCAAGUAAUGAAUGGAAACUAUUACUACUGUAUUCUGACCGGGUAAAAUGGGAUUGAAGCUACAACUCUGGCAGGGGAUGAGGAGUUAUCAGGGGAUAAAGAAUUAACUGCAGCAUUAAGUAGCUGGGUUGAGCCGGCACCAAAAAUAAUAUAUCUUCCUUCUGUUACUGCAUUCCUUACUGCGGCAUGGAGCUUGCGGAUGUGCCUUUCGAGUUCUGAUGAGAUUAAAGUUUGAUCACUGUAUACGUAGCUCAUUCGGUGCCAUCCUGCUACAACAACAGCACUGCUGGCGGCAUUCUGCAUCCAGAAGGGCUCCAGGAACAAUGGAUCCCCACUGUUACAAUACACAAAGAUUGUGUUAAUCUUGAUGAUACAGCCACAACAGCUAUGAUAUUUAAAGAACAUGGUUCUUUACUUCUUUUCUUUUUUUCUUCCUAUAAAAAAGCUUAUUUAUUUUUAAUUUUUCAGAAUGGAGAAAACAUGAAUAUGUGCUGCAAAACUACCCAACACCAGAAAGAGAUUGAAUCCUAAGCAACAUAAUCCAUCAGAAAAAAACCCAGCUACAUCAGAUUGCAGAGCAAGAAAAAUGCAAACCCGAGCAAUUGUAAACAGAGAAAUGGGACAAGAUGUCGGUGAUUACAUAAUAUAUUAAAAGAAACACCUAAAACAACAGAAAGCUAAAAGAGCAGAUCAUGGUGUAAAAUGCAGCAUAAGUGUUGGCAACUGAGAAGCCUUAGGAGCUUUAUGUAUCAAUGCCAUUACCAAUUUAUACCAAUUGGCCCAUUGGUUAAGUGAAUACAUGGUAUUUUCUACAGUAUGGCGACGACUUGAUAUAGUAAAUAACCAAAAAAUAUAUUUGCUCUAUAAAUACACCCAUCUGAUUCCAUUUUGUAAUUAGUAUUGUCUUGUGUUGGAAUAAACUUAAAGAGUUAGAGCAACUGAACGUCAGCCUGCAAAUGGGUAAUGCAAUUCUCAAAUUCUAAAUAGCAAAUACAACAAAUACAUACAUACAAAACAGAUCGAGCCCAAAUCAACUAUAUUUAAAGAAAGAAAAAAAGAAAGUGAGAAGUAAGACCUAUCAGCAUUAGCAGGACAGGAAGGAUCAAACUGGGAGCAGUCCACACCUCCAUAGCAAGAGUUGCAUUCACAGACUGGCUCUUUCUUUCCAUCAACGAUCAUGCUAUCCAAGAACACUCUUCCAUGGCCUGAGCAUGAGAUGGCACCAACUGCCUCUGCUUCUUUUGCUGCUUUUCUGCUCCAACUCAGGUUAUUCCACACAUCAUCAUCACCACCACCACUGCCAUAAUACCAAUUGAAAAUAAACAGUAGAUUAAGAAUUAUGGAUGACAAAAAUAAUAAACAACCC
rnacentral:lncRNA from 1 species